CGCCCGUCACACCACGAGAGUUUACAACACCCGAAGCCGGUGGGGUAACCGCAAGGAGCCAGCCGUCGAAGGUGGGGUAGAUGAUUGGGGUGAAGUCGUAACAAGGUAGCCGUAUCGGAAGGUGCGGCUGGAUCACCUCCUUUCUAUGGAGAAUCGUUUCCUGCAACGGAAACAUUCAAAUAAGCAGCUAAGCUGCAAAUCACUCACUCGUUGUUCGGUUUUGAGAGUUCAACUCUCAAAACAUGGUCAUAAAAUUUCAUCCUCACAUUCGUGAUGGACCGAGAAUUUUAUGGUCGCUGUUUCGAUGAAACAGCUUUGUUCCUUGAAAACUAGAUAAACGAAACAAUUUUGCGAUUUAGAAAUAUCCUUCUUAUCUGAACUUGUGCAUAGCAAGUGAAGUAAGAAAGUGCUUAGUGAGGUUUUUGGAUGAAGAACGACUUUUGACGUAGUCAACUGGAGAGAUUCAGCCAAAACACCGAACAAAUGGUCAAGCUAUUAAGAGCACACGGAGGAUGCCUAGGCGCUAGGAGCCGAUGAAGGACGUGGCGAACAACGAUACUGCCUCGGGGAGCUGUACGCAAGCUUUGAUCCGAGGAUGUCCGAAUGGGGAAGCCCAGCUAUCGUAAUGGAUAGUUAUCUCCACCUGAAUACAUAGGGUGGUUGAAGGCAGACCAGGGGAACUGAAACAUCUAAGUACCUUGAGGAAGAGAAAACAAUAGUGAUUCCGUCAGUAGCGGCGAGCGAACGCGGAUUAGCCCAAACCAGAGAGCUUGCUCUCUGGGGUUGUGGGACGUCUCACAUGGAGUUACAAAGGAAUAGAUUAAACGAAGAGGUCUGGAAAGGCCCGCCAAAGAAGGUAACAGCCCUGUAAUUGAAAGUCUGUUCUCUCCGAGACGGAUCCCGAGUAGUGCGGGGCACGUGAAACCCCGUAUGAAUCCGGCAGGACCAUCUGCCAAGGCUAAAUACUCCCUAGCGACCGAUAGUGAAGCA
rnacentral:sRNA from 1 species